rnacentral:pre_miRNA from 1 species
UAUUAGUUACUCUCACCUUCCCAUUGACCGUCCUUAUUUAAAACAUUUUUGUGAUUAAUAUUUUUAUUAUUAUUAGAUGAUAAAACAUGAAUAAUAUUUUAUGCAUGGCUUAUUUUUUUUAUUUUUUUUAUAUUUUUUUAAAUAAGACGGGCAAUCAAGCGUUGUACAUGUAAACCACAACUACAUUUAAA